AGUAGAACGCUGAGAACUGGUGCUUGCACCGGUUCAAGGAGUUGCGAACGGGUGAGUAACGCGUAGGUAACCUACCUCAUAGCGGGGGAUAACUAUUGGAAACGAUAGCUAAUACCGCAUAAGAGAGACUAACGCAUGUUAGUAAUUUAAAAGGGGCAAUUGCUCCACUAUGAGAUGGACCUGCGUUGUAUUAGCUAGUUUGGUGAGGUAAAGGCUCACCAAGGCGACGAUACAUAGCCGACCUGAGAGGGUGAUCGGCCACACUGGGACUGAGACACGGCCCAGACUCCUACGGGAGGCAGCAGUAGGGAAUCUUCGGCAAUGGGGGCAACCCUGACCGAGCAACGCCGCGUGAGUGAAGAAGGUUUUCGGAUCGUAAAGCUCUGUUGUUAGAGAAGAAUGAUGGUGGGAGUGGAAAAUCCACCAAGUGACGGUAACUAACCAGAAAGGGACGGCUAACUACGUGCCAGCAGCCGCGGUAAUACGUAGGUCCCGAGCGUUGUCCGGAUUUAUUGGGCGUAAAGCGAGCGCAGGCGGUUUUUUAAGUCUGAAGUUAAAGGCAUUGGCUCAACCAAUGUACGCUUUGGAAACUGGAGAACUUGAGUGCAGAAGGGGAGAGUGGAAUUCCAUGUGUAGCGGUGAAAUGCGUAGAUAUAUGGAGGAACACCGGUGGCGAGAGCGGCUCUCUGGUCUGUAACUGACGCUGAGGCUCGAAAGCGUGGGG
rnacentral:rRNA from 1 species